UCCGUGUUGACCACGGCAGUCUCGUGUGAAAAACAACACACGACGAGGGUUGCGCUCGUUACUCCACUGAAGGAAACAUUUCACAACACGAGCUGACGGCAACCGUGCAGCACCUGUCUGACGAUCUCGAAGACGUCCACCGUUUCUGGCGGACCACAGUCAGAUUUCUAGCCCUGGUAAGGUUCCUCGCUUACCAUCGAAUUAAACCACACGCUCCACCGCUUGUGCGGGCCCCCGUCUAUUCCUUUGAGUUUUAGCCUUGCGGCCGUACUACCCAGGCGGUCGACUUAACGCGUUAGCUUCGACACUGACGGGGUCGAAUCCGCCAAUGCCUAGUCGACAUCGUUUACGGCGUGGAAUA
rnacentral:misc_RNA from 1 species